AUGCAAGUCGAGGGGCAGCGGGGAGGUAGCAAUACCUUUGCCGGCGACCGGCGCACGGGUGAGUAACACGUAUGCAAUCCACCUGUAACAGGGGGAUAACCCGGAGAAAUCCGGACUAAUACCCCAUAAUAUGGGCUCUCCGCAUGGAGGGUUCAUUAAAGAGAGCAAUUUUGGUUACAGACGAGCAUGCGCUCCAUUAGCCAGUUGGCGGGGUAACGGCCCAUCAAAGCGACGAUGGAUAGGGGUUCUGAGAGGAAGGUCCCCCACAUUGGAACUGAGACACGGUCCAAACUCCUACGGGAGGCAGCAGUGAGGAAUAUUGGUCAAUGGUCGGCAGACUGAACCAGCCAAGUCGCGUGAGGGAAGACGGCCCUACGGGUUGUAAACCUCUUUUGUCGGAGAGUAAAGUACGCUACGUGUAGCGUAUUGCAAGUAUCCGAAGAAAAAGCAUCGGCUAACUCCGUGCCAGCAGCCGCGGUAAUACGGAGGAUGCGAGCGUUAUCCGGAUUUAUUGGGUUUAAAGGGUGCGUAGGCGGCACGCCAAGUCAGCGGUGAAAUUUUCGGGCCCAACCCGGACUGUGCCGUUGAAACUGGCGAGCUAGAGUGCACAAGAGGCAGGCGGAAUGCGUGGUGUAGCGGUGAAAUGCAUAGAUAUCACGCAGAACCCCGAUUGCGAAGGCAGCCUGCUAGGGUGCGACAGACGCUGAGGCACGAAAGCGUGGGUAUCGAAC
rnacentral:rRNA from 1 species